CCAGACGGUCGGAUGGCCGCUUUCAUCGGCGCCUGGCGCCGGUGGGGGAGGAAAGUCCGGGCUCCACGGAAACAGGGUGCCGGGUAACGCCCGGCGGGGGCGACCCCAGGGAAAGUGCCACAGAAAGCAAACCGCCGGUCUUCGGGCCGGUAAGGGUGAAAGGGUGCGGUAAGAGCGCACCGCGCCCCCGGCAACGGGGGCGGCACGGCAAACCCCACCCGGAGCAAGAUCAAGUAGGGACGGCCGGGCCAGCCUUUCGGGGUGGGGCCAGGCGGGUUUUCGCGCCGCCGUCCGGGUCGAUCGCGCGAGGCGUCCGGCAACGGACGUCCCAGAUGAAUGGCCAUCCAUGCGGGGCAACCUGCGGGACAGAACCCGGCUUACAGACCGUCUGGCAUU
rnacentral:RNase_P_RNA from 1 species